GAUGAACGCUAGCGAUAGGCUUAACACAUGCAAGUCGAGGGGCAGCAUGGUCUUAGCUUGCUAAGGCUGAUGGCGACCGGCGCACGGGUGCGUAACGCGUAUGCAACUUGCCUCACAGAGGGGGAUAACCCGUCGAAAGACGGACUAAUACCGCGUACACUCUAUGUUGGGCAUCCAAUGUAGAGGAAAUGAAAUUCGCUGUGAGAUAGGCAUGCGUCCAUUAGCUAGUUGGUGAGGUAACGGCUCACCAAGGCGACGAUGGGUAGGGGAACUGAGAGGUUGAACCCCCACACUGGUACUGAGACACGGACCAGACUCCUACGGGAGGCAGCAGUGAGGAAUAUUGGUCAAUGGGCGAGAGCCUGAACCAGCCAAGUCGCGUGAAGGAUGACUGUCUUAUGGAUGGUAAACUUCUUUUAUACGGGAAUAACAAGAGUCACGGGUGGCUCCCUGCAUGUACCGUAUGAAUAAGCAUCGGCUAACUCCGUG
rnacentral:rRNA from 1 species